rnacentral:rRNA from 1 species
UACGGGGGGUGCGAGCGUUGUCCGGAAUCACUGGGCGUAAAGGGCGCGUAGGUGGUUUGAUAAGGGUGUGGUGAAAGUCCAGGGCUCAACCCCGGAUCUGCCGUGCCGACUGUCAAACUCGAGGGCUGUAGAGGCAGACGGAAUUCCGGGUGUAGCGGUGGAAUGCGUAGAGAGUCCGGAGGAACACCGGUGGCGAAGGCGGGUCUCUGGGCCGAUACUGACGCUGAGGAGCGAAAGCGUGGGGAGCGAACAGG